UACGAAGGGGGCUAGCGUUGCUCGGAAUCACUGGGCGUAAAGCGCACGUAGGCGGAUCUUUAAGUCAGGGGUGAAAUCCUGGAGCUCAACUCCAGAACUGCCUUUGAUACUGGGGAUCUCGAGUCCGGGAGAGGUGAGUGGAACUCCGAGUGUAGAGGUGAAAUUCGUAGAUAUUCGCAAGAACACCAGUGGCGAAGGCGGCUCACUGGCCCGGUACUGACGCUGAGGUGCGAAAGCGUGGGAGCAAACAGG
rnacentral:rRNA from 1 species